rnacentral:lncRNA from 1 species
UUGGUGAAAUUUUAUGAAAAUGAGUUAAAUGGAAAAUUUUAGGUUUUAUAAACAAAAAUGUGUUUAAAUGAAAAGAUUUUAUAAAUUGUCUUGAAACGAAAAAACGAUUUUGAAAAUAGAGUAAUUGGAGACCACCAGUAUGUUGUAAAUUUAUGAUUAGAAAUUGAUGGCUUAUGUUAUAUUGUUAUUGUGUCGGCAUGACUGGCUGGGCUGUGUUUUAUGAAUUGUAUGAACUGUUUUAUUUUACCCUUACAGGCUAUGUAGUAAUAUAGUAGCCCUGUCAUGCUGUCAAAAUUUUAUUGUAUGGUGGGUUUAGCUUACUGCAGUAGGCGGGUUUUCGUGGACUAGCCUAUUAGAGGGGCAUUGUAAACCCCGUUAUAUUUUACCUCGGUUGGAGAGGCGAGUAAGGCAACUCUCGAGGUAUGAUUUUAGAGUUCACUUCACGCCAAACCACCACGUGAAGGUGAGCUCGGCCAACGCUAAGGAACGGCUAUAUUUUCAAAAUGAAAACAUGUUUUAUGCGUACAUGACUUUCUAAUAGCCUUGAUGAACUCAGUUGGGAUAGCCCUCGGCCAAGGUAUCCUAGAUAACUAAGUAUGAUAAUAAUUUUUGGCAUGAGCCAAGCUUUUUAAGAAAUUCAUAAGCCAUACUGAUUCUUGAUUUAAAUAAAUUGAUUUCAUUUGGUUGAAAUAAGUUGAAAGAUGAUAAAUUACAGUUUGAUGAAAUAUUUUAAUAGUCUCAUUUUACUUGCCUUUAGAUAUUUUGAAUAAUGUUUGUUUACUCACUGGGAUUUUAUAAUCUCACCACCCUCCUUUCCACCCAUUUCAGGCAUCAGGAUAGUCGGUAAAUAGCUCAUUUCAUCGAGAACUACAAUUGGAUUGGCAUCCUCAAAAUAUGUGGUUCAAUUCUUUUGACACUUUUAGUCGUUCGUGGGCCCACGUGUCACUGCAAAUUUCAUUUUAUACUUUGGUUAUCUAUAGUACAAUAUAUAUGAAUUUAUUUUGCUUUUUCGCUGUAAAAAUUAUUUAUGCAGUGUUCUAAAAAUAUUAGUUUAUGAAAAA